GUGGCAGACGGGUGAGUAACGCGUGGGAACGUGCCUUUCACUACGGAAUAGCUCUGGGAAACUGGAAAUAAUACCGUAUACGCCCUCCGGGGGAAAGAUUUAUCGGUGAAAGAUCGGCCCGCGUUAGAUUAGAUAGUUGGUGGGGUAAUGGCCUACCAAGUCUACGAUCUAUAGCUGGUCUGAGAGGAUGAUCAGCCACACUGGGACUGAGACACGGCCCAGACUCCUACGGGAGGCAGCAGUGGGGAAUCUUGCACAAUGGGCGAAAGCCUGAUGCAGCCAUGCCGCGUGGAUGAUGAAGGCCUUAGGGUUGUAAAAUCCUUUCGCCAGGGACGAUAAUGACGGUACCUGGUAAAGAAGCCCCGGCUAACUUCGUGCCAGCAGCCGCGGUAAUACGAAGGGGGCUAGCGUUGUUCGGAAUGACUGGGCGUAAAGCGCACGUAGGCGGAUUGUCAAGUUGGGUGUGAAAUCCCGAGGCUCAACCUCGGAACUGCAUUCAAAACUGUCGAUCUGGAGGCCAGGAGAGGUCAGUGGAAUACCGAGUGUAGAGGUGAAAUUCGUAGAUAUUCGGUGGAACACCAGUGGCGAAGGCGACUGACUGGACUGGUACUGACGCUGAGGUGCGAAAGUGUGGGGAGCAAACAGGAUUAGAUACCCUGGUAGUCCAC
rnacentral:rRNA from 1 species